AUUGAACGCUGGCGGCAGGCCUUACACAUGCAAGUCGAGCGGAGCGGCGGACGGGUGAGUAAUGUCUAGGAACGUGCCCGGUAGUGGGGGAUAACUACGGGAAACCGUACCUAAUACCGCAUACUAUCGGAUGAGCCGAGGUCGGAUUAGCUCGUGGGUGGGGUAACGGCCUACCAAGGCGACGAUCCGUAGCUGGUUUGAGAGGACGACCAGCCACACUGGAACUGAGACACGGUCCAGACUCCUACGGGAGGCAGCAGUGGGGAAUGUUGGACAAUGGGGGAAACCCUGAUCCAGCCAUCCCGCGUGUGGGAUGAAGGCCUUCGGGUUGUAAAGCACUUUUUGCAGGGAAGCGUUACCUGCAGAAUAAGCACCGGCUAACUCCGUGCCAGCAGCCGCGGUAAUAC
rnacentral:rRNA from 1 species